rnacentral:lncRNA from 1 species
AUGCCAGUACUAAAAGGAGGCAACAGAGCAUGUGCCCUGGAGAACAGCUGCUGCCCCCUGCCUCGACUGGCCUUUCAGAAGGUAUCACAAGAAAGAAUGGUCUUUCUUCUCAGAGACCCCACACACACACACACACACACACUCACACUCACACUCACACUCACACCUUCAAAGCCACAGCGGCUGGGGUACAUAUUUAUAGCCCUGGAUGUUUCUGACUGUUUUGAGUUCAAUAGCUAAACACGUUGAAAUCAUAAGGAAAUGAUCUUCCUAUCAAAUGUGGAUUAGAAACCAAAUUGACUUUCACAAUCUCUUUCCAGUUUUUCCCUCACUGGAUAGGUGAGACUUCUCACUUUACCAGCAUUGAAGUUAUUUCUGAAUUUUCUGAAAUGUUCAGAGUGGAAUUCCCUCCUAGACUUUUAUCUUAAAAAUACAACUGUCAUAAAAGGAAACUAAACCUCAUGCCAUACGUCUGUUGGUGGGCGUGUGUGUGGGUGGGCAUGUGUGUGUGGGGGCACAUGUGUGUGUGUAGACUAUGUGCCACAGGAAAGAGAAAAUUAUAGUUACACACUGAUCUCCCCUCACGAAUUCUCUAAAUCUUUGAUCAAGGUUGCAUAACAAUUUGUGGGUCCACAUGCAUCCUCCUCCGAUAGAAUACUUGUGACUAAACACACACGCACACACCAUUUAGUUCUCAGAACUUUAAAACUAUCCCCUAGGGCUUUAAUUCCACUGAGAACUUUUUAAGAAACUUUGCAUUUAAUGCCAGAGUUUUAAGAUGGCUCAAAGAAUGUAUUUAUUUUCUAUUCACAAGGAGCCAUUGCUUUCCUGUUCUGUUUUUUUGAACCUUUAUGCUCGUCCCAGAAAUCUCAUUUGCAGAGCCCCAAGACAUCUGGGUAAAGCAGCUCUGUAUCAACUGGAGCUCUAACUACUGACCCUCCCUAUCACCUCACCCUAAAGUCCUUGAGGCCGCUCUGAGGUGCCCCCGGCACUCUGUGAAAACUUCCUGGAAACCAU